CGCAUCUGUGCAUGCAGCAUAUCAAUAAGCGGAGGAAAAGAAACUAACAAGGAUUCCCUCAGUAACGGCGAGUGAAGCGGGAAGAGCUCAAAUUUGAGAUCUUGAAAGGUCACCUUUCACGAAUUGUAGUUUAAAGAAGUGUUUUCUGUUACGAUCGUAAUAUAAGUUCUUUGGAAUAGGACAUCACAGAGGGUGAGAAUCCCGUCUAUGAUUGCGAUUUGUAGCUUUGUGAUACACUUUCAAAGAGUCGGGUUGUUUGGGAAUGCAGCCCAAAACGGGAGGUAAAUUUCUUCUAAGGCUAAAUAUUGGCGAGAGACCGAUAGCGAACAAGUACCGUGAGGGAAAGAUGAAAAGAACUUUGAAAAGAGAGUUAAAUAGUACGUGAAAUUGUCAAAAGGGAAGCGUUUAACACCAGUGUUGUUUUCUGAAAAUCAACCUCUGUUAGCUUUAUGCAUGUUUGUUUAGACCUAAUCAGCUAUCUUGCAUGUUCUAUUGUUUGCAGUGGUGCACUUUUCAGUUUACAGGUCAACAUCAGUUUUUUUUACCGUAAAAAAGUUAAAGAAAGGUAGCUCAUGGCUCCGGUCGUGAGUGUUAUAGUCUUUUUCCUAUGCGGUAGGAGAGACUGAGGUCUGCAGUGUAGGCUAUUUGGCUAGAUACUCAGGUGCUAUGUGAUACCAUUUCAUAAACAACUUGUUGAUUAUGUUUUGUCUAUUGCAUACUCGCUUGUACUAUCAUACCUACGCUUAGGAUGUUGACGAUCAGCUGAGCGCG
rnacentral:rRNA from 1 species